CCCUUAGAGUUUGAUCCUGGCUCAGGACGAACGCUGGCGGCGUGCUUAACACAUGCAAGUCGAACGAGGUCCAUCGCGGGCUUGCUCAAGAGAAGACCUAGUGGCGAACGGGUGCGUAACACGUGAGGAACCUGCCCCGAACUUGGGAAUAACAGUCGGAAACGGCUGCUAAUACCGAAUACCUUCGUAGCGUCGCAUGGCGCAUCGAAGAAAGCUUUUGCGGUUCGGGAGGGUCUCGCGGCCUAUCAGCUUGUUGGUGAGGUAACGGCUCACCAAGGCAUCGACGGGUAGCUGGUCUGAGAGGAUGAUCAGCCACACUGGGACUGAGACACGGCCCAGACUCCUACGGGAGGCAGCAGUGGGGAAUAUUGCACAAUGGGCGAAAGCCUGAUGCAGCAACGCCGCGUGCGGGAAGAAGGCCCUAGGGUUGUAAACCGCUUUCAGCAGGGAAGAAACUGACGGUACCUGCAGAAGAAGGUGCGGCCAACUACGUGCCAGCAGCCGCGGUGACACGUAGGCACCAAGCGUUGUCCGGAUUUAUUGGGCGUAAAGAGCUCGUAGGCGGUUCAGUAAGUCGGGCGUGAAAACUCUGGGCUCAACCCAGAGACGCCACCCGAUACUGCUGUGACUUGAGUACGGUAGGGGAGUGGGGAAUUCCUGGUGUAGCGGUGAAAUGCGCAGAUAUCAGGAGGAACACCAGUGGCGAAGGCGCCACUCUGGGCCGUAACUGACGCUGAGAGCGAAAGCGUGGGUAGCAA
rnacentral:rRNA from 1 species